rnacentral:rRNA from 1 species
AUUGAACGCUGGCGGCAGGCCUAACACAUGCAAGUCGAGCGGAUGAAGGGAGCUUGCUCCUGGAUUCAGCGGCGGACGGGUGAGUAAUGCCUAGGAAUCUGCCUGGUAGUGGGGGAUAACGUCCGGAAACGGGCGCUAAUACCGCAUACGUCCUGAGGGAGAAAGUGGGGGAUCUUCGGACCUCACGCUAUCAGAUGAGCCUAGGUCGGAUUAGCUAGUUGGUGGGGUAAAGGCCUACCAAGGCGACGAUCCGUAACUGGUCUGAGAGGAUGAUCAGUCACACGGGAACUGAGAAAGGGGCCAGACCCCAAGGGGGGGCAGAAGGGGGGAAUUUUGGAAAAGGGGGGAAAGCCUGAACCAGCCAUGCCGGGGGGGUGAAGAAGGUCUGCGGAUGGUAAAGCACUUUAAGUGGGGAGGAAGGGCAGUAAGUUAAGACCUUGCUGUUUUGACUUUACCAACAAAAAAAGCACCGGCAAAUUUCGU